GUUUGGACCACUGAAGACGUCCAGCUGUUUGUUUUGCUGGCAACAAUUGAGGCGUUGAGAUGCCGGCGUAAAUGUUUUGAGAAGUUCUCAUUUGCUGAGAAGGAACUAUUAUUGACAGAAUUCAACAAUACGCCCAACAAAGAUGGACAGGAUGGGUACUUGGAGUGCUCACAUUCUUCCGUUAUUUCCGAAAGCAAGGAGACCACGCCCAAAUUCCAUUACCAAUCGUGGAAGGAGAGCAAAUUAUUAUUAGAAGGUCUACUAGGGAACCCAUGAACUUUCUGUACAACUGUGCCUCAUUCGACAUUUUCGCCACAAGGAAAGCUGCGUGAGCCAUAUCGUAAAAAUGGCUUCCACCCGGAAGAAAGCCCAAUGUGUUGUGUGGCUUCCAGAAACAAAAUCACUAUGCAGCGGAAGUUUGUGUCCUUAUAUGGAAAGAAAGAAUAUGAUGUCAAGUUAAUCAGAAAAUGGGAGGAAACUUUUUUAGCUACGGAGAGGAUUAAAAAAAAUGAUAAGGAGCGGCAGACCAUCCGUUUUGGAGAAGAAAGUGCAGACAGUUCAAACCACAUUCACGAGGGUGCCAAAGAAAUCAAGUUCAAUGCAUAAAGUGGUUCGCAAACAUCUUAAAUUGUAUACGUACAAGGUCCAGAUUGUUCAGACAUAACAACCAGAUGAUCGCCGAAAACGUGAACAAUUUGCAACCGACAUGUUGAAGAGUUAGGAUGAAGUUAAUGAUUUCUUGAAACGGGUCUGUUUUUCCAAUGAGGUUACGUUUCAUAUUUGUGACCCAAUAGACCGCCAUAAUGUCCGGAUUUGUGGAUCAGAAAAUCCUCAUGUCGUAUGAGAACACAUUUCGAACAGUUCAAAGAUCAAUACGUGGUGUGGCUUAAUGUGUGAUCGAAUGACUGGUCGAUAUGUCUUCCUUUAAAGCAAUGUAAGUGGAUAUGUUUACCUAGACAUGUUGGUGAAUUAUGUCGUUCCCCAACUACAGGAUAUGCAAGACACCAUCAUAUUUCAGCAAUUCCCCGACAGGUGGAUUGGCAGAGACAGUUCAGUUCGAUGGUCCCUGAGAUAAACUAAUAUUACCCUCUUAGAUUUUUUUCUUUGGGAGUAGGUGAAAGACACUGUGUAGCAAACAGCGGUUCCUGACAUUGUGACAUCGCAACAACGCGUCAGGAAUGCUACGGGGCAACAAGAUCAGACAUGUUGCAGAAUAUGUGGCAAGAUAUUGAAUACCGACUCGAUAUUUUACCAGACGUGCAAAUGUUGAAGUGAUUUAAAUGUUGAAGUGUAUUACCUGUAUUAAAUGUUUAUGUAAAAGUUCAAAACAUAAU